rnacentral:lncRNA from 1 species
AUUAUAUUUUGAAAGAUGCCUAUAUGUUCUAGAAGGUGAAGUCUGAUUACGAUGUCGUAUUACGUGAAGUCUUGCUUGAGAAUGCACCGAGCACCUUGCUGUGGAAGGUAAAAGAAAAUUGUAACAAAAGAUCCUAAGAAUCCAAUAGGAUUAUAGAGAAUUUACAAUUAAACUUUAACAAUCAUAAUCAAACAUUAAGUAAGCUCAAUUAAAUUUUAUUGAAGUUAUAAAAGAAACUUAAAAAAAUCCUAAAGAAAUAUAAAAGAGUAUUAAAGAAAAUUUAGUCAAACCCUAACAAAAUUCUAAUAGAACCUUAAAUUCUAACCAAAUCCUAAUCCUAAUCCAACCUUAAUCAAAUCCUAGACAAAUCCUAAAUCUUAAAUCAAAUCCUAAUCAAACCUUAAUCCAUAACCAAACCCUAAUCCAAACUCUAAACUCUAAAUCCUAAACCAAAUCCUCAUCCAAAUUCUAAACUCUAAAUCAAACCCUAUCCAAAUUCUAAACCCUAAACCAAAUACUAAUCCAAAUCCUAAAUCCUAAACCAAAUCUUAAAUCCUAAAUCAAAUCCUAAUCAAACCUUAAUCCCUAACUAAACUCUAAUCCAAAUCCUAAAUCCUAAACCAAAUCUUAAUCCAAAUACUAAAUCCUAAACCAAAUCCUAAACCCUAAAUCAAACCCUAAUC